ACAAAAAAAGUUCUAGCAUAAAUGAAUAGACUGUUUAUUUUCUUACUGAGCUAAAAGACUCUACACAAGAAGGAGGGAACCGAAUGACAAAAAGAAAUUAAUAAGAGGCAGGCUAUAUAACGGUAACAGCCGAUAUCGACCUGGUUUAGGAUAUAGGAAGUGGAGAGAUUAGGAAAAUAAUGAUAGGACAGUGGUUCGGGAUAAAAUCAGGAAGUGGUAACGGACAACGGACUGCUUUUCAUUUUAAACGACGGUAGCUGAGGAUAAGGGUUAGGUAUUCGAGACAAAAAUUAGGGUACAGAAAGUGGUUAAGGAUACAGGAAGUGGUUAAGGAUACAGGAAGUGGAUAAGGAUACAGGAAGUGGUUGAUGAUAUAGGACGGUACCAUCAGGAAAUGUAGGGUGAUACUGAGUGGAUCGCGAAAUCCUUCGUACAUCUGCUGAAAAAAGGUGAUUUGGUCAUCCGGGGACUUACCUUACACCUGUCUUUAUCUUGGAUCAGGUACACACUUUGUUUACCUUAAUUACGGAAUACCUCAUUAACAGUGAGGCUCAACAUCCGGUGCAGAUUUGGAUGACAGAAGAACGUGUCUUAUAUCGCCUACCAUUGGGUGAUUAAAUCGAUGUCGGGUUAGACGGGUUUAUCGGAUUAGACAGGUUGUCAACUUAGGUGUGUUAUUGUUCCGUUGUCUUGUGGUGGCGACAGAUGGCGUGACAGGCGUCCCCCGGCACAGCUUCCGCUGCCGGUCGAUUGCCCGGAUUAAGUGGACCGUGCGACCUUCCGUGGACCUCUACAUUUUGACCAAUCGCAACUGACGUGACAAACCAUGACUUUACCCACGAGAAGCCAGGAUGUCACGUGACCUAUUGUUUGUUCUUUACAUUCUUUUGCACCCGUCAGUCUUAACAGCUGGCGGUCCGUCUACCAAUGUCAAGAAAACGGACGAGCAGAGACUGCUAGAGGUUCUGUUAAACGGAUAUAACAGUGACACGAGACCCGUAUAUAAUGCGUCACAUCCGGUCCAAGUCUCGCUAGGAAUCAUCUCAAGGAGAGGAGGUCCCACUGGAAGCCAAAACACUGGCACCGCGUCCCCGAGGCUUCAACCGUUGGUAACCAUUCCUCGACCAAUGGCCGUGUCGUUCAUGACAUAGGGGAGACGACUACCAUCGUAACUCAUGACGACGUGCUCCAUGACGGAGCGACACCUGGUGACAGGUUACUCAAGGACGAUAACUCACAAGUGAAUCACGCAUUACUGGAAACACUGAAGUGCCUUAUGAACAAACAAGAGGAGACCGACCGAGAGAACAAAAUCCACGACGAAUGGAAGGAGGUUGCCAUUGUGAUCGACCGCUUCCUGUUCCUGGUUUUCCUGUUGGGGAUGAUUGUGGCUUCCGUUUAUAUCCUCGUCGCCUUGCCAUUACAAAAGUUACAGAGAUUUGGUGGUUCUUAACUUUUCUCUAUGACUAGUAAAUGUAUCUGUUUAUACAUGUGAAUUGAUUGUCUUGACGAUAUAGCGAUAUUAUUCAGAACUAAUUUGUGUUUGACCUAUUAAAAACGCACAAUUAUUCGGAAAAUACAUAUAUUUUUAUAU
rnacentral:misc_RNA from 1 species